GUGGGGAAUAUUGGACAAUGGGCGAAAGCCUGAUCCAGCCAUGCCGCGUGUGUGAAGAAGGUCUUCGGAUUGUAAAGCACUUUAAGUUGGGAGGAAGGGUAGUAACCUAAUACGUUGCUACUUUGACGUUACCGACAGACUAAGCACCGGCUAACUUCGUGCCAGCAGCCGCGGUAAUACGAAGGGUGCAAGCGUUAAUCGGAAUUACUGGGCGUAAAGCGCGCGUAGGUGGUUCAGUAAGUUGGAAGUGAAAUCCCCGGGCUCAACCUGGGAACUGCUUUCAAAACUGCUGAGCUAGAGUACGGUAGAGGGUGGUGGAAUUUCCUGUGUAGCGGUGAAAUGCGUAGAUAUAGGAAGGAACACCAGUGGCGAAGGCGACCACCUGGACUGAUACUGACACUGAGGUGCGAAAGCGUGGGGAGCAAACAGGAUUAGAAACCCGGGUAGUCC
rnacentral:rRNA from 1 species